UUCAGAACAUGCCCCACUUUACGACCCAGCAAUCUUUGCUUGCGGUCUUCCAGUUCAGGGAAUUUGUUAUGCUCUUAUGCAUGCAAUUACUCAACAAAGAAUUAGAAAAACAAUUAUGUCAUAAAAUAAGCAGCAGUGUAUCGAUUACGUCCGGCGUACGGUAGGGCGUAAGAUUGUGCUCGUGCUGGUAAGCGGCGAAAUCGAUUCCGCCGUUUGUGCUGCCCUUCUCCAUAAAGCACUUCUACAGGGUGAGGACUCGUCGCGAGUGCAGACCAUCCAUAUCGAUAACGGUUUCCUGUGUAAAGAUGAAUCCGAGCAGGUCGUCACUAGUUUACAGCAACUCGGGCGCAAUCUUCGGACAGUGGCUUCUCAUUUCUUCUUCAUACUAGCGAUCAGAUUUGAUGUUUCGAAUUGUUUUAAGUUGUUAAAGCAAGUUAGACCUUCUACAAUGCUUUCGCCAACGUGCAUGGUCGCCAAACUUUGUCCUUGUGUUGGACUGUGAAUCCGGAAGAAAAAUGUGAAAUAAUUGGCGAUACGUUUGCUAAAGUGACAGAUAGUGCGACUAACGAUUUAAAUCUUAAUUGGGAAAAUCUACGUCUCGGACGAGGUACUUGGAUGUCGGAUGUCGGAUUGAAUUGGACUCUUUGUGCGCUGAUGCCACAAAGACUCUUAAUGAUUCCGAAAUGGUUCGUCAAUUGCGGUUGCCUUCACGGUCGUGUAGUAGAACCUAAUAAAGACUUCCAUAAAGAUGAAGUAAGAGCCUUAGGUCGCGAACUGGGUCUGCUCGCAGAAUUACUAAUGAUGAACUACUAAUCAUAAUGUCAAUCGUGUUUGCUACGUAUUCUGAAAGGCUGAAUCGGUGACAAACGUUACACCUACCUUCUUAACGAGUAACAUUUUGGCAACUUUGAGGGAAGCGGAUUAUUUGGCAUAUAAAAUAUAACAGGAUUCGGGUUGCCAUAAGAAGCUAGUCCAGAUGCCCAUCGUCUUGAUCCCUCUUCACUUUAAUCACGAUUCGAGUCAACGCAUUCCAUUAUGCCAGCAAUCGGUCGUUUUUCCACCAUUCUUUUCAUAGGAUUUGAUGACUGGACUUCCUGCAAUUCCUGAUACUUAUCUGCCCCAAGAGGUUGUAGAAGUUGAAGCCGUCUCAAAUGUUCCAGGAAUUUCCAGGGUCUUGUGUGACCUGACGGCAAAACCACCCGGGACAACGGAGUGGGAAGGAUUUGAUUUACGAACUUUACUUAGGCAAAUGAUCUCCGCACUCUUUAUAGGACACGGAUACAGAGUUGUAGUGUUUGAAAUUGAAAAUCAAUCAGCUUUACCUUAAGUGAAAAUCUCUUAAACUCGCUUUUUAAGAGGAGUUCAUGUGAUAACUUGUUGACUAUUCCUUAAAUGUACAUGCACAUUUGUUGGAAAUAAUGGGGGCAGUUGUUUUUCGUCGAACUAGGUGGGUUGUUGUUCCUCUCCUUUCUGAAACUACCCUUUUUUGCCCUAUUAUUAAUCUAAUUCUAUUGGAAACGUUCGGAUGUCGCCCAAAAACAAGCGGCCAUUUGAGGCGUUAUGCCAUUUCCUGAAAUUGAACAUUCAGUAAAUGUGGUAUAUGUUCGCAACUUGUUAAGAUUCAUUCAGAGUGGUACCAUAAAGUAUGACUGUAGGAAAGGGUACGUAGGCUUCUAAAAAUUAAAAACAGCUCUGACGUCUUUUGCAGCUAGCCAACAAUUUGCAUAACAUAAAAAAUGAGCAGUAUUAUUCGAAAAAUUUCAAAUACUUUUCUUGCAUGCGUUAGGGUGAUGCAGCUAUUAUUCCGUGUUUUUUUUUUUUUUCGCUAUUAACAGUACAGGCUGACACUACGAGCAAUGGCAGUUUUUGUUACAAAUGUUUUAGCGCCUCGUCUUGCAACUAGUACUUUAUAUGCUAGGUUUUUAUGUUUUAAAUUGGAAUUCAACUAUUUGAGAUCAGUAAAGUUCAAGCACUUAAAAGCAAGAAUUGUACUGAUUUCGAAGUAAAAUCUAUUUCUUUCUUCUAAUUCUUUCUUUGGGUUUCAGGAAGAAAAACUAGAUGGCGUUAAUGUUCGUCUAUGAUAAAUAUUGCCAGUGGCAACUAAACUGGUGUUUGUUACGUUUCUACCCUGUUUAGUGUUUUAAAGAACUUUUCAUCAGAUAUUAACGAUAUGAUAUAAUCUGUUCAGUAUUGCUAUCGUUUUGUAUGUAUUGAAAAGCAAAUCCUUAAAAUAGAUUGUUUUUUGUAUGUGGUAAAGUAAAAGGUCAGGUAAAACAAGUAAAAGUAAGUGAAAGAUCACUAUUAAAUAGGAUUGAAUUUUGUAACUAUGCCAAGGUAACAAGCCGUCUUCUGGUAGAAAUUCUUAUGCCUUACGCCUUAGUUGUUACUGGUUGUCUGCUGAAUGUAGAUUACAAUCUAUUUUAAACAUUCUCUUGGUUACUAAACUCAGAUAUGCCACCUUCUUUUCACGAUUAUUUGCAUGGUUGACCCUCGAUUGUUGUUUGAAGGUGUAUUGUCACCAGACAUCCUUUGAAUGGUACAAUAUGUUUGCAUGUUAUUUCUUUCAGUUCAAUUUUCUGUCACACAAGGUUUUCAUUCUCCAGGUAAACCCACUAUCAGCAGCCUUACAAAGUUCUUCAUAUAAGUCUCUUUUUCAUGCAUUACUACUGUACACAAAUGGUCUCACCAUGAAGGUGUGAAUGUGCAUACAAUUCAAACUGUGAGUUAUUUAUUGGAGUAUUAGAAGUCAGUUUCCUUGAUAAAUAGACAAACAUAAUUUUGUGCAUGAGAAUACAUUUUCUUCUUUAUUUCCAUAUUGCUUAACCAUUUUAUUUUAGUUUCCUAGCUGACAUCCUUGUUCUGUGAAUAAUUAAAUCAAUUUGGUGGUGCCCAUGAUGAACCAUUAGUGAAUCAAAUGAGAUGAUCAAUCAUAUCUUCUUGCAUUCAUAAUCAACCAUUAAUCAAUGUAGGUGGUUAAUCAUGUUUUUUUGGACUUUAACCUACGACAUGUAGACCCUAAGAGUUAGACUCUGGUACCGGAAAUAAAAGAAAAACUAGUUUUGAUAGCGUUGAGGGAAGUUACUGUACGUCAAUUAUAAUAUAAUAUGCGUACGAAAAAUGCAAGUGAAAGGUCAUUUCACUUUUACGACUACCUUAAGAUCUUUUCGGUUGUAAUCAUCCAGAUCUAGGCUUUAUAUUUUUAUUUUAUUUUUAUUGAAUUCAUAAAUUUAGAAAUGAAUCAAGAAUCUGUUCGCUCGAUGAAAUUGAAUUUCAAUGGUACGGCUGGACGAUUAAUUAAUUUAGAUCUGACAUCUAGCUCAGCACCAUGCCACUCGAUACGGAACUGCCUCACCAGCUGAAUUUAACGCAAAUUUAAUUACAAUUCGUAGAUUCUUGUUUUUGUUUUUAGUUACCCGAGCUAAAAGAAUGUACAAAUUUUGCUCCGCUAGUCUUCGGGCAAUGCAAGCUCGCGGACCAUGUCCGAAUGGCAAUACCAGAUAUGGAUGUACUUUUUCAUAAGCUGGAUCUCCUUUUAUCCAGCGUUCAGGAAUAAAUUGUAAUGGCUUCUUAAAGUAGUACUUCAGUCGACACGAAACCUGAUUCUGGCUCACGAGUAUCGUCUAAAAUUGAUAUCCUGAAAAGGAAGCAUCCUCUGGCAAAAUUCUUCCAACUCCAAUUGAUAUUGGAUUCAACCUGAAGGACUCUUUUACUGCAGCCUUUAGAUAUUUCAGUUGAGCAAGGAUAUCAGAUGUUAUGACACUGUUGGAUUUUGGCAGGAACUGCUUAACUUCCAGAUAAAUCUUCUCUUGGCUUAAUGGGUUUUUGGCAAGAUGAUACAAUAUAAAACUCAUUGUUUCCUACAGUAUCAAUUCCAGCCAAAAGCAUGUCGGCAACCAUUGUGACCACAUCUUUCACGUCUAGAUCCUUCGACGUAAGAUAAACUUCUAACAAGGUUUUUUGAGAACCGGCAGCAAAAUUUUUGGAUGGUGUCUUCCAUUUGCGCCAAAGUUGAAGGCCAUUAUCUGUUCGAAGUAUUUCGUUAUUCGUGUCACCGGCAGCCUUUAUGAGUUUAUACGGACAGGAAUCAGUAGUCAAAUUCCUUUCCAGCGAUCCCAAUCGCGUAUCGAACGUCACCAAACCAAGAACUGUUGGAAUCAUACAUAUAUAAAAUACACCACUCACACAGUACUCCGUCUUCCAAAAAAUCUGGCGAAGUUUUCGCUGUUUUAACUGAAGCGGAAAUAAGGCCAGCGAAUUCGUGAGCGAUCGUAUCGAUACCGGGAAUAUAUUGACGGAUGUUUUCCGGCAUAUUAAGUGGGCGCUGAAGGGCUUGUCGUAGACGAUGCCAUUCAGAACUGUUUUCGUUUACGUUGGAAGAAGGCCCCCGUUGUUGUAAAUGUGGGGUCUUUGAAGUCUAUAGAAUUCUAAAGCCGUAUGACUGCGCCUGGAUGGAUAACGCCCUUCAACCUGGUACAUGUGUUCAAUAUCCUCCGGUCGGUAGAGUAACAAAAGAUUUACACCUGGCAAAAUUUCUUCUCGAACAAUGCUGCCAAACUGUUGAUACUUUUUCAGUCCGGAAGUAUGCAACUGGUCGAACGAAUAUUGUCCUAGCCAUGGGCAGAACCCCAUAUGAUUCAGUAUCAUUAUUUUUAAGUGGCAGUUUUUGUUUCGACAUAGAGGGUGUCAGUCAUGUCGUGUGACUUUCACCUGGGAAUAGAAAGUCACCUUCGACAGAUCGAAAACAGUUGUAACGUCGACGAUUGCAUAGCUUAUUGUAAAAAAGCGAAUACAGACUAAUACGACAAGUA
rnacentral:lncRNA from 1 species